rnacentral:misc_RNA from 1 species
AAGUCGUAACAAGGUUUCCGUAGGUGAACAUUAUUAUUGCAGGUUCGCCAAAACAGAAAGUCUCUCAGCAGGCAACAUCUCUACUGUGCUGGAAUUUACUGUGGGUAAUACCAGCAGCCCAAGAAUAGGCUCACAGAUCAAAUGGAGGUGGCCCUUUGGGGUUGAGAGUUGAUCGGGGGGUUGCUAUCAGUAGCAGCUAUACUUCCGCUGCGGAAGGAUCAUUACUGAGAUAAUAUACUCUCUUCAGAGUAUGUCUCCCAUCCUUUGUUUACAAUACUUUAGUUGCUUUGGCAGGACUGU